rnacentral:rRNA from 1 species
UACGUAGGGAGCAAGCGUUGUCCGGAAUCAUUGGGCGUAAAGCGCGCGUAGGUGGCCUCAUAAGUCCGCUGUGAAAGUCAAAGGCUCAACCUUUGAAAGCCGGUGGAUACUGUGGGGCUAGAGUACGGAAGAGGCGAGUGGAAUUCCUGGUGUAGCGGUGGAAUGCGCAGAUAUCAGGAAGAACACCAAUAGCGAAGGCAGCUCGCUGGGACGUUACUGACACUGAGGCGCGAAAGCGUGGGGAGCGAACAGG